rnacentral:rRNA from 1 species
GAUGAACGCUGGCGGCAGGCUUAACACAUGCAAGUCGAGCGGGGUGAUGGUGCUUGCACUAUCACUUAGCGGCGGACGGGUGAGUAAUGCUUAGGAAUCUGCCUAUUAGUGGGGGACAACAUCUCGAAAGGGAUGCUAAUACCGCAUACGUCCUACGGGAGGAAGCAGGGGAUCACUUGUGACCUUGCGCUAAUAGAUGAGCCUAAGUCGGAUUAGGUAGUUGGUGGGGUAAAGGCCUACCAAGGCGACGAUCUGUAGCGGGUCGGAGAGGAUGAUCCGCCACACUGGGACUGAGACACGGCCCAGACUCCUACGGGAGGCAGCAGAGGGGAAUAUUGGACAAUGGGGGGAACCCUGAACCAGCCAUGCCGCGUGUGUGAAGAAGGCCUUAUGGUUGUAAAGCACUUUAAGCGAGGAGGAGGCUCUUUUGGUUAAUACCCAAGAUGAGUGGACGUUACUCGCAGAAUAAGCACCGGCUAACUCUGUGCCAGCCGCCGCCGUAAGAC